AUUGAACGCUGGCGGCAGGCCUAACACAUGCAAGUCGAGCGGAUGAAGAGAGCUUGCUCUCUGAUUUAGCGGCGGACGGGUGAGUAAUGCCUAGGAAUCUGCCUGGUAGUGGGGGAUAACGUUCCGAAAGGAACGCUAAUACCGCAUACGUCCUACGGGAGAAAGCAGGGGACCUUCGGGCCUUGCGCUAUCAGAUGAGCCUAGGUCGGAUUAGCCAGUUGGUGAGGUAAUGGCUCACCAAGGCGACGAUCCGUAACUGGUCUGAGAGGAUGAUCAGUCACACUGGAACUGCGACACGGGCCAGACUCCUACGGGAGGCAGCAGUGGGGAAUAUUGGACAAUGGGCGAAAGCCUGAUCCAGCCAUGCCGCGUGUGUGAAGAAGGUCUUCGGAUUGUAAAGCACUUUAAGUUGGGAGGAAGGGCAGUAAGUUAAUACCUUGCUGUUUUGACGUUACCGACAGAAUAAGCACCGGCUAACUUCGUGCCAGCAGCCGCAGUAAUAC
rnacentral:rRNA from 1 species